GACUUGACAUCUCGAGAACUGAACCUAAUAGUUCAGGUGCCUUAGGGAACUCGAAGACAGGUGGUGCAUGGCUGUCGUCAGCUCGUGUCGUGAGAUGUUGGGUUAAGUCCCGCAACGAGCGCAACCCUCGUUCUUAGUUGCCAUCAUUAAGUUGGGCACUUUAGGAAGACUGCCGGUGACAAACCGGAGGAAGGUGGGGAUGACGUCAAGUCAGCAUGCCCCUUACGUUCUGGGCUACACACGUACUACAAUGGUUGGGACAAAGGGCAGCAAGCUCGCAAGAGUUAGCGAAUCUCAUCAAACCCAGCCUCAGUUCAGAUUGCAGGCUGCAACUCGCCUGCAUGAAGGAGGAAUCGCUAGUAAUCGCAGGUCAGCAUACUGCGGUGAAUUCGUUCCCGG
rnacentral:rRNA from 1 species